GAUGCGGCCGGGGACGUGGCGGACGCUCCUGCGAGCAGCCCGGCCCCGUCGCGGCAGCACGUGGGCAGCAGGGUGGCCGGCAAGGAGGGGAAGGUCGUGCCAGAAGCUCUCGGUGACGUGGUUCUGGAGUCGUAAGUCUGGGCAGUGACGUGGGGCCGAGGGCCCGGCUCACUUCAGUGCCCCUUCGGGGGGCCGCAUCCUGCUAGGGAGGGAUGCCCUGGAGGGAUGGGGCAAAGCCCCCUCGGCUGUGUCGGCCUCGUCAGAUCCCAAGCAGCAGCAGCAGAUCCCCAGGUUGCUCUGUAUGGACUGUGGCCCCCCGCAGAAAUCUGAGUUAUGGCCCUUUGCAGCCCUUGGCCUCUCUAGGCUGCUGACAAGGGACGCGAUCAGAUCCAGCUCUGUUAGCGUUGCUAAUAGAGGGUCAGAAAUUGCAGUGCUGGUCCUGCUGGCCUUCAUUCAGUCAGGCCUAACUGUGCUUUGGUCCAGGGCUGGGCUCCUCCAAGGUCCAGGUGCUGCUGAUGAAGUUACCUGCAUUGCAACCCCCCCCGCCAAUGUUUCCUGUGGGCUUUGAUGCUGAAAAGGAGAGAGAGCAGCUCCUGAAAGAUCAGGGUGCAGAAUCCCCUAAAGCAGAGCUGUCUCUAUGGAACAGGCUCAUCACCAUGAACAGACAUCGACGGACUUCAGAUAAGCCUCACGUCCUAGGAARCUUGACGCAACUGGRAAGGGAAGAGGAGUCUCCUUUGAACGCGGUUGCUGAUGGACCCGCAGCACCGGYUCUCCCCCUCCUGCCUGCAAAACCCUCUGAUGUGGUCCCUGUCUACAGGUUUCCUGAAAACAGAGCAGAAGAAACCAUUGGCUACUUCGGGAGAAGCCAGGUAGAGCUGGGAGCAAAUGGCGCAGRAACCCCCAGAGAAGGCUGAGGGCAUCCUCAUAGAAAGAUAUUCUUCCUUAGCAGUUCAGGCAGACCUCAACAGUCAUAUCUCUCAGCUGAUGGUAUCUCACUGGCCGUGAAAGAAAUUGUAAUUUAAUCAACAAAGAGCGCUUAGAGCCCCAGACCAGAUGGGAGAAAUGUUUGUGAAACAAAGACUCUAUUUUCGAGAAAA
rnacentral:lncRNA from 1 species